rnacentral:rRNA from 1 species
GACGAACGCUGGCGGCGUGCUUAACACAUGCAAGUCGAACGAUGAAGCCGGAGCUUGCUCUGGUGAAUUAGUGGCGAACGGGUGAGUAACACGUGAGUAACCUGCCCUUGACUCUGGGAUAACUGCGGGAAACUGUAGCUAAUACCGGAUACGACCCUCGGAGGCAUCUCCUGGGGGUGGAAAGAAUUUCGGUCAAGGAUGGAAACGCGGCCUAUCAGCUAGUUGGUGAGGUAAAGGCUCACCAAGGCGACGACGGGUAGCCGGCCUGAGAGGGUGACCGGCCACACUGGGACUGAGACACGGCCCAGACUCCGACGGGAGGCAGCAGUGGGGAAUAUUGCGCAAUGGGCGCAAGCCUGAUGCAGCAACGCCGCGUGAGGGAUGACGGCCUUCGGGUUGUAAACCUCUUUUAGCAGGGAAGAAGCGAAAGUGACGGUACCUGCAGAAAAAGCACCGGCUAACUACGUGCCAGCCGCCGCAGUAA